CAGAAAGAUUGUAACUUCUUCAAAAUCACACAGAAAGUCAUUAUGUUAUCCUGCUUCUUGUUUUGUCUUGUUAUGUUUUUUUUUUCACUAGGCCAAGUCACUUGGCUAUAAUAAUUCCAAAAAGUGAUUGUAGAAAAUACAAAUGGUUUUUGAAUCAUAAGAAUCGUAAAGCUGAAAAGGACCCUAAGAGAUAUUUAUUGUUUGCACCUUUAUGUUUCGAACAUCUUCUCAGAUAAAGUUGACUACAACUUGCUGCAUGUAUGACCACCUUCAAGCCACCUUAUCUACUAAUGGAAAUGAAAAACCCACUCAUGUCAGAUGAAUGAAUCCAAGAAAGUAGAGUAUGCAUCUUGCUCCGUCACCCAGCCAGGAGUGCAAUGGCACAAUCAUGGAUCACUGCAGCCUCGACCUACCAGGUUCAAGCAAUCUUCUUGCUUCAGCCUCCUGAGUAGCUGGGACCACAGGUGCAUGCCACGACUCUCAGCUAAUCUUUCUGAUUUUCAGUAGAGACAAGGUCUUGCCAGGUUGCCCAGGCUGGUGAUCCUGAGCUCAAGUGAUCUUCCUGCCUCAGCUUCCCACCAUGCUGGGAUUACAGGUGUGAGCCACUGUGCCCGGCUAAACAUUCUUAAUUUACUGAUACCUUUUUCCUGUUUAUACAUAUCAUGGCCCCCCAAAACUGUUAUAAAAAUAGUGUGGUUUUGAAAAAUCAGUAGAGAAGGUCGUGACUGUGUAUUAUAGGAGAGCAGGUGGAGAAAACAGAACAGCACCACUGAUUUUUAUUCCCAUCUCUUGGAAAGAAACAGGCUCAUUUGCCCUGGUGCUAUGGUUAAGGCUAGUAGUUAAGGCUUUGGUUGGAUUCUCUCUUUGGCCUACCUCUGGACUGAAUCUUAUGCUAAGUAAAGUGCCCUGCACAGGAGGGCCUUAUGAUACCAUUUACCUGUUGCAUGGCUGUGAAGGUACAGAUGUCCAGUGCUGACCUCAAUGUAACUUCCUUUAAGUGCAAGUCAAUGGACACUAAAAGCACCUGAAAUGAUAUGUACUGGGUGUGCCAUCGCACUUCUAAGCCUCAUCCCUAGAAUAGGGCUAAAACUGAGUAUUUUUACCUUUCUGUGGGUAGCAAAAGCAUUUUCUUACAAACUAAAGGAACUAUAUCCAUAGAUUCAACUGAAAGAAGGUCAACUGUAAUUUUUCAAAAUUUUCUGAUGAAAGGGAACUACAAUUUUUUUUUUUUUUUUCUGAGACAGAGUCUCGCUCUGUCACUCAGGCUGGAGUGCAGUGGCGCGAUCUCGGCUCACUGCCAGCUCUGCCUCCCAGGUUCACACCAUUCUCCUGCCUCAGCCUCUUGAGUAGCUGGGACUACAGGUGCCUGCCAACAUAUCCAGCUAAUUUUUUUUUAAAGUAGAGACAGGGUUCCGCUGUGUUAGCCAGGAUGGUCUCGAUCUCCUGACCUCGUGAUCCACCGCCUUAGGCCUCCCAAAGUGCUGGGAUUACAGGUGUGAGCCACCACUCCUGGCCUAUGUAAGAUUUUUAAAAGGGCUAAUGUUGUACACCUCCUUUCAGAAUUGCCUCUAGGUCAGCACAAUAAUUAAUUGGGGGUUAUGAGAGGAGAAUGUCUCUACUGAAUUGCUUUUAACAUUGGUCCAAAGUGGUGGUGAUGAAGGGGUUUUUAAAAUAGCUUUGAGAAUGCUGAGCUUUAAAAACAGUAGGUGAUGUCCUCAGCAUCCCAGCCAAGCUAUUCACUGCAAAUACUACGA
rnacentral:lncRNA from 1 species